rnacentral:sRNA from 1 species
AAGUCAUAACAAGGUUUCCGUAGGUGAACCUGCGGAAGGAUCAUUAAUAAUGCCCUCUGGCUUCGGUCAGCUGGGUUCAAUGUGUGUCAUCUCUUCGGAGAUGGCCAUCCACACACACCGUGAACUGUGACUUCGGUCAUCAAAAACUUUUAGUAAUGAAUGUAAAAAUCAUAACAAAAUAAAACUUUUAACAACGGAUCUCUUGGCUCUCGCAUCGAUGAAGAACGCAGCGAAAUGCGAUAAGUAAUGUGAAUUGCAGAAUUCAGUGAAUCAUCGAAUCUUUGAACGCACCUUGCGCCCUUUGGUAUUCCGAAGGGCAUGCCUGUUUGAGUGUCAUGAAACCUCACUCCACUUGGGUUUUUGCCUGAGUGGUAGUGUAUUGGGUGUUGCCUUGCCAAAGGCUCGCCUUAAAAGAAUAAGCACCUUGGAUGUAAUACGUUUCAUCCUUUCGGGUGGCUAAUAACCCCACAUAACUCAUGAUCUGGCCUCAAAUCAGGUAGGGCUACCCGCUGAACUUAAGCAUAUCAAUAAGCGGAGGAAAAGAAACUAACUAGGAUUCCCUUAGUAACGGCGAGUGAACCGGGAUGAGCUCAAAUUUGAAAUCUGGCGUCUUUCAGGCGUCCGAGUUGUAAUCUAUAGAGGCGUUUUCCGCGCCGGACCGCGUCCAAGUCUCUUGGAAUAGAGUAUCAAAGAGGGUGACAAUCCCGUACUUGACGCGACAACCGGUGCUCUGUGAUACGUUCUCAAC